UACGUAGGCAGCGAGCGUUGUUCGGAGUUACUGGGCGUAAAGGGUGUGUAGUCGGUUGUUUAAGUUUGGUGUGAAAUCUCCCGGCUCAACUGGGAGGGUGCGCCGAAUACUGAAUGACUUGGAGUGCGGGAGAGGAAAGUGGAAUUCCUGGUGUAGCGGUGAAAUGCGUAGAUAUCAGGAGGAACACCGGUGGUGUAGACGGCUUUCUGGACCGUAACUGACGCUGAGACACGAAAGCGUGGGUAGCAAACAGG
rnacentral:rRNA from 1 species